CCUACGGGUGGCAGCAGUGGGGAAUCUUGCACAAUGGGCGAAACCCUGAUGGAGCGAAGCCGCGUGAGUGAAGAAGGCAUUCGGGAUGUAAAGCUCUAUCAUUAGGGAAGAAAAUGACGGUACCUAACCAUGAAGUCCCAGCUAACUACGUGCCAGCAGCGGCCGUAAUACGUAGGGGGCAAGCGUUGUCCGGAUUUACUGGGGGUAAAGGGAGCGUAGACGGUUAGGCAAGUAUGGAGUGAAAGGGGGGGGCCCAACCCCCGGAGUGCCGUUGAUACUGUGUAACUGGAGUGCAGGAGAGGUAAGUGGAAUUCCUAGUGUAGCGGUGAAAUGCGUAGAUAUUAGGAGGAACACCAGUGGCGAAGGCGGCUUACUGGACUGUAACUGACGUUGAGGCUCGAAAGCGUGGGGAGCAAACAGGAUUAGAUACCCUAGUAGUC
rnacentral:rRNA from 1 species